ACCCUUUGGGGAAUGCACAUAAUCCUCAAUUAUGAUGGUGACUAUUUCUGUAGGAUUUGCGCUCAAAAAUGCCUCCACCUCUUUCAAAGUGUUAAUUGCCGGUUGAAAGGCAGUGAAGUUGUAACAUUGGCCACGAAAUGAGUGACAGAGCCAUAUAUCGUUCUCAAAAUCGUACAUAUCCAGCAUCAAUCCCCGCACUCCAUUUCUCAAUUGGUUUGUGACAGUGUCUUCUUGAUUAUAGAAUGUAAUUCUCUGAGGGCCUGUCAAUAAUGGUGCAUUUACCAUUGAAAAGGCAUUAUGGGUGACCAACCACGAGUAUUUGUUGAAGGGCAAUCCACUGAUAAUGGAAGUAGGUUCUAUAGCUUGUCCUCUGAUGCAAAAGGGCUGACUCUUUCCCAAUUCAGGGCAAUCACCACAGUAUAAAGAAGGCCCACAAUCCGUAGCCGAAGCACAUGAAUCAAGAAGCUGGCAAUUCCCAUUAGAACAAGCAGUUGAGCGAGUGA
rnacentral:misc_RNA from 1 species